CUACAAUCCUGGGGGAGCCGGUUAACGGCUGAGAUUCCGCAUGCAAUGCGGUAACCCUUCGAACCUGAUCCGGGUAAUGCCGGCGAAGGGAAGGAAAGCGCCGCUUUA
rnacentral:ncRNA from 2 species